AGCAUGGUCUACAGAGCAAGUUCUA
rnacentral:misc_RNA from 1 species